UUUACAGAUAGAGACUCACCUAUCAAUGCUACCAGUGCAACUGGCUUCCAACAUUUCUUUUUACUUUCCUGCAUAGUCAACAGCAGACACUUUGAAGUGACUUCUUUCGAACAAUGAGGAAACCGUAUCGAGGACUCAGAAGGUCUUCCACAUUAUUAGAAUCAGUCAUGCCCAGUCACUCGCUACUGGAAAAUACAGUAGAAUCUCCAAAGAAUGCUGAGACUGUCCAGACGCUCCUUCAAGACAUGUAACAAUUUUGUCUUUCUGUACAAGUGAAUAUUUAACCUUCUGCCAAAUAGUACUAAGCCUGCCUGAAAAGUGGGACUUGUGAGGUGACCCUUAACAAUAGGAAUGUUUUUAAUGAAGAAAAAUGUCAGGAUUAAGAAUGUCAUACCUUUCCUGCUGUAGUGGAAAUGCUAAGUCAUAGCCUGAAGCAGUGAUGGAGCACCUGGUAGGAAGGCAGGGCCAACCCAGAGGAGCUCAGGUGCACUCAAUGCAGCUGAGUGACCAGAAGGGCUGGAGCCGGGAUCCACCUCUUACAGACCUCAUUUAAGCAUUGGCAGUGAAGACAAAGAGAUUUUGUUGGGGAUUGAUGCCUGCUUGAGGCCUUUUGAAGACCCAAGAAUGACUCCACACAAGAAGUGACAGACUCUCCUUGUGUUGUUGGAAUGAGAACAGCUGUGUUUGGACACAUUACUAUCAUCACGUUCUCUGGAGGGUCUGUACUUGGGGUCUUAUAACAGCCUAAGACGCACUCUAGUGGACACACAACAAACUGGAAUGAGGAUACAAAUAUGGAAGAAUAGAUAAUGAAAGCCACUGGUUGGAAUUAGUGAUUAGACUUAUUUAUCAGCAUGUUUAAAGUUGUCUUAAGUAAUUAGGCAAUAUGUUUAAGUUAUAUGUGAAGGCUGAAGUUUCCAUAGUUAACAUAACAAAAGGACUGAAAUAAAAACACUGGCUCAAAUGAAAACCUUCAUCUAUUUAUCCAGCUAGUCCAUUCAAGGCUGGCACAAGAAGUUGCUGUGUAUACAUCAUUAAUAUAUUUUAAUUAGAUUAAUAACGAUAUUUAGUAGAGAUGAUCAACACAGUGCAAAUUCAGUAAUUUUAAGAUCUGACUAACCAAAAUGAAUAUGCUGACUCCUGCAGCUCACCUAUUAUCACGCAGUAAUCAGUAAAGAUUUUAAAUUGUAGAGCAAACAAUUAGUGUCAUUAAAAAGUACCUCAUGAUUUCUGACA